UACGUAGGAUGCAAGCGUUGUCCGGAAUUAUUGGGCGUAAAGAGAACGUAGGUGGUCCUUUAAGUUCGAUCUUAAAGACCGGGGCUCAACCUCGGGAAUGGAUUGAAAACUGGGGGACUAGAGGAUGUUAGAGGACGGUGGAAUUCCCAGUGUAGCGGUGAAAUGCGUAGAUAUUGGGAGGAACACCAGUGGCGAAAGCGGCCGUCUGGGACAUUCCUGACACUGAGGUUCGAAAGCUCGGGGAGCAAACAGG
rnacentral:rRNA from 1 species